rnacentral:rRNA from 1 species
ACUCCUACGGGAGGCAGCAGUGGGGAAUUUUGGACAAUGGGCGAAAGCCUGAUCCAGCCAUGCCGCGUGAGUGAAGAAGGCCUUCGGGUUGUAAAGCUCUUUCAGCCGGAAAGAAAUCGCGCAGGAUAAUACUCUGCGUGGAUGACGGUACCGGAAGAAGAAGCACCGGCUAACUACGUGCCAGCAGCCGCGGUAAU